GUGCCAGCAGCCGCGGUAAUACGUAGGGCGCAAGCGUUAUCCGGAAUUAUUGGGCGUAAAGAGCUCGUAGGCGGUUUGUCGCGUCUGCUGUGAAAUCCCGAGGCUCAACCUCGGGCCUGCAGUGGGUACGGGCAGACUAGAGUGCGGUAGGGGAGAUUGGAAUUCCUGGUGUAGCGGUGGAAUGCGCAGAUAUCAGGAGGAACACCGAUGGCGAAGGCAGAUCUCUGGGCCGUAACUGACGCUGAGGAGCGAAAGGGUGGGGAGCAAACAGGCUUAGAUACCCUGGUAGUCC
rnacentral:rRNA from 1 species